CCUACGGGCGGCAGCAGUGGGGGAUAUUGCACAAUGGGGGAAACCCUGAUGCAGCGACGCCGCGUGUGGGAAGACGGUCCUCUGGAUUGUAAACCACUGUCCCCAGGGACGAAGAUGACGGUACCUGGGGAGGAAGCUCCGGCUAACUACGUGCCAGCAGCCGCGGUAAUACGUAGGGAGCGAGCGUUGUCCGGAAUUACUGGGUGUAAGGGGAGCGUAGGCGGGACUGCAAGUUGGGUGUCAAAUCUACCGGCUCAACCGGUAGCCGCACUCAAAACUGCAGUUCUUGAGUGAAGUAGAGGCAGGCGGAAUACCUAGUGUAGAGGUGAAAUGCGUAGAUAUUAGGAGGAACACCAGUGGCGAAGGCGGCCUGCUGGGCUUUUACUGACGCUGAGGCUCGAAAGUGUGGGGAGCAAACAGGAUUAGAUACCCGGGUAGUC
rnacentral:rRNA from 1 species